rnacentral:rRNA from 1 species
UCCUACGGGGGGCUGCAGUGGGGAAUUUUGGACAAUGGGGGCAACCCUGAUCCAGCAAUGCCGCGUGCAGGAAGAAGGCCUUCGGGUUGUAAAGCACUUUUGUCCGGAAAGAAAAGGUUGUGCUUAAUACCCGGGGCUCAUGACGGUACCGGAAGAAUAAGCACCGGCUAACUACGUGCCAGCAGCCGCGGUAAUACGUAGGGUGCAAGCGUUAAUCGGAAUUACUGGGCGUAAAGCGUGCGCAGGCGGUCCGGUAAGACAGAUGUGAAAUCCCCGGGCUCAACCUGGGAACUGCAUUUGUGACUGGCGGGCUAGAGUAUGGCAGAGGGGGGUGGAAUUCCGCGUGUAGCAGUGAAAUGCGUAGAGAUGCGGAGGAAUCACCGAUGGCGAAGGC